CCGUAUCAAAUGUUAAAGAUAAAAACAAUGUUGUUGU
rnacentral:sRNA from 1 species